rnacentral:rRNA from 1 species
UAUAUUAAGUUGUUGCAGUUAAAAAGCUCGUAGUUGAAUUUCGGGAUCAAUAUUUCGGUCAUGCCGUUGGUAUGCACUGUUAUCAUUGAUUUCUCACCUUCUAAAGAACCGUAAUGCCAUUAAUUUGGUGUUACGGGGAAUUAGGACUGUUACCUUGAAAAAAUUAGA